GCUAGGGCGCAAGCCUGAUGCAGCCAUGCCGCGUGUAUGAAGAAGGCCUUCGGGUUGUAAAGUACUUUCAGCGGGGAGGAAGGGAGUAAAGUUAAUACCUUUACUCAUUGACGUUACCCGCAGAAGAAGCACCGGCUAACUCCGUGCCAGCAGCCGCGGUAAUA
rnacentral:rRNA from 1 species